UACGAAGGGGGCUAGCGUUGUUCGGAUUUACUGGGCGUAAAGCGCACGUAGGCGGACUAUUAAGUCAGGGGUGAAAUCCCGGGGCUCAACCCCGGAACUGCCUUUGAUACUGGUAGUCUUGAGUUCGAGAGAGGUGAGUGGAAUUCCGAGUGUAGAGGUGAAAUUCGUAGAUAUUCGGAAGAACACCAGUGGCGAAGGCGGCUCACUGGCCCGGUACUGACGCUGAGGUGCGAAAGCGUGGGGAGCAAACAGG
rnacentral:rRNA from 1 species